rnacentral:tRNA from 1 species
GGGCGAAUAGCUCAGCGGUAGAGCGCCGCCCUUACAAGGCGGAUGCCGGGGGUUCAAAUCCCUCUUCGCCCACCA